rnacentral:pre_miRNA from 1 species
AAUAAACCAAUUUUUCAUUUUUUAUCUACAAUUUUGACUCUUCGUCUUAUUAAAAAAAUUUUGUGAUUGGUAUUUUUGUUUAUAUUAGAUGAUAAAUCUUAAAUAGUACUUUACGUGUGACUAAUUUUUUUCUAAUUUUCUCAGAAUUUUUCAAAUAAGACGGAUGGUCAAACGUUGGACACGGAAACC